rnacentral:rRNA from 1 species
GCCCUUAGAGUUUGAUCCUGGCUCAAGAAGAACUCUUUCUACAGGCUUAACACAUGCAAGUCGAGGGGCAUCAUUUUAGUUUGCUUGCAAACUAAAGAUGGCGACCGGCGCACGGGUGAGUAACACGUAUCCAACCUGCCGAUAACUCGGGGAUAGCCUUUCAAAAGAAAGAUUAAUAUCCGAUGGUAUAUUAAAACCGCAUGGUUUUACUAUUAAAGAAUUUCGGUUAUCGAUGGGGAUGCGUUCCAUUAGUUUGUUGGCGGGGUAACGGCCCACCAAGACUACGAUGGAUAGGGGUUCUGAGAGGAAGGUCCCCCACAUUGGAACUGAGACACGGUCCAAACUCCUACGGGAGGCAGCAGUGAGGAAUAUUGGUCAAUGGACGAGAGUCUGAACCAGCCAAGUAGCGUGAAGGAUGACUGCCCUAUGGGUUGUAAACUUCUUUUAUAUGGGAAUAAAGUAUUCCACGUGUGGGAUUUUGUAUGUACCAUAUGAAUAAGGAUCGGCUAACUCCGUGCCAGCAGCCGCGGUAAUACGGAGGAUCCGAGCGUUAUCCGGAUUUAUUGGGUUUAAAGGGAGCGUAGGUGGAUUGUUAAGUCAGUUGUGAAAGUUUGCGGCUCAACCGUAAAAUUGCAGUUGAAACUGGCAGUCUUGAGUACAGUAGAGGUGGGCGGAAUUCGUGGUGUAGCGGUGAAAUGCUUAGAUAUCACGAAGAACUCCGAUCUCGAAGGCAGCUCACUAGACUGCAACUGACACUGAUGCUCGAAAGUGUGGGUAUCAAACAGGACUAGAUACCCUGGUAGUCCACACAGUAAACGAGGAAUACUCGCUGUUUGCGAUAUACAGUAAGCGGCCAAGCGAAAGCAUUAAGUAUUCCACCUGGGGAGUACGCCGGCAACGGUGAAACUCAAAGGAAUUGACGGGGGCCCGCACAAGCGGAGGAACAUGUGGUUUAAUUCGAUGAUACGCGAGGAACCUUACCCGGGCUUAAAUUGCAUUUGAAUAAUCUGGAAACAGGUUAGCCGUAAGGCAAAUGUGAAGGUGCUGCAUGGUUGUCGUCAGCUCGUGCCGUGAGGUGUCGGCUUAAGUGCCAUAACGAGCGCAACCCUUAUCUUUAGUUACUAACAGGUCAUGCUGAGGACUCUAGAGAGACUGCCGUCGUAAGAUGUGAGGAAGGUGGGGAUGACGUCAAAUCAGCACGGCCCCUACGUCUGGGGCUACACACGUGUUACAAUGGGGGGUACAGAAGGCAGCUACCUGGCGACAGGAUGCUAAUCCCAAAAACCUCUCUCAGUUCGGAUCGAAGUCUGCAACCCGACUUCGUGAAGCUGGAUUCGCUAGUAAUCGCGCAUCAGCCAUGGCGCGGUGAAUACGUUCCCGGGCCUUGCACA